GGACAACUAUGAUGUUUUCUUGUUCUCUUUUAGCAAUUUUCCCAAAUAUAUAUUACACUAAGUAGUUGAGUUAAUUAUUCAUUCAAUAGAUAAUUAUUUUAAAUAUUCAAUAAUAUUUUAUUGUAUGUUGAAUGCAUAUUAACGAUUGAGAUCGAGUUUGGUACAAAAUCUUUAUUAGAUUUUUCGGAUAUCCAUUAAGGUUUAGUUCGAGUAUAAUUCAUAACCCAAAAUACCUUAAAUAAGAUCUAUUUAGUAUCUAUGUUGAGUUCGAAUUGGUACAUAUUCAUUUUUAUCGGAUCAAUUUCCGUUCAGUUUUUGUUCUAGUUUAUUUGCCUAAUUCUAAUAUAUUGUAUUACAGGUACAAACAAUGAAUCAAACAAUAAGUAAAAGGGGAAUAAGAUCAACAUCUAAGCUGUCCACAUAAGCACAAAAAAAAUCAACCUAUCAGAAAGCUUUAAGUUGCCACAUCAGCUCGACCUGUUCUAUUUCUUCGUUGCGAACAAGCCGAUGAUUUGAAACCAAUCGUCUCUUCACCUUUCUUUUCGUCUCAAUGCAUCCUUUAAUUAUAGUCUGUUUGUCUCCCUCUCCACUUAAAAUCCCUAAAUCCCCAAGCAUCACCCUAUCUAUAGUAUUCCCGUCUCUCUCUAUCAACGGCUCCACAUUCUGGAAAUCAAAACCCACCGCAUCCAUGGCUAACAACAAGGCAAAAUCGACUGUUUUCAGAAAACGAAUCUAUACAUACAAAAGAUGCUGCGUUUUGGGAAUCAUAGCAAGGAUUCUCAACAAUGGCGACCAUUCCUUCACACAGCCUUCUCACAAAGAACUAUCACUCUUCUCCGUCGUUCAAAACCACCAGCUCCUCUGAACCUUCGUCAUUCAUCUCCCGGAGAAAAGAUCCCGACUAGCUACGAAAGCUUCUCUCUCUAGAACAAACGAGGCUUCUUUAUCCGCCGUCAUCUCCAGGCUCGAGCGUGAACGGAAAUGAUUAACCGACGGCGGCGGAGAACAGUGGCAUAUGGCGGAGGAUUUCCGCCGGCGCGAUAAGAAAACCGAGGAAGAGAGGAGGCUUAGAGACACGUGGCGUAAGAUCCAAGGAGAAGACGAUUGGGCCGGGUUAACGACCGGAUGGACCCGGUUCUCAGAUCGGAGCUGAUCCGUUACGGCGAAAUGGCUCAGGCCUGUUACGACGCCUUCGACUUCGAUCCUUCCUCGAGAUAUUGCGGCAACCCACAUCGAGUGUAAUCUUCACUUUGGUCACACAUUGGGUCUGUUGAUUUUUGAAAGUAUUUGACCUUACAUUAGUUCUGUGUUUUGAUUUAGGUUGGCCUCUAAAUGUAUAACAUCUCCAUUUAGAUCAGACAUGGGUUGUUGGUUCGAUGAGGCUCUGAGAACUCAAGCAGUGCUAUUGGAGGCAGGCUUUCUGAAUAUCUUUGGUCAGUGUCAAGUUUCUUGAUCUCUUAUGGAUGCAGUUUUGAUACUUUUUGCUAUGUAUAGAGAAAUGAGUUCUUAUAAGCAUUGUUCUAUUCGAUCAACACUCACACCUGAUCCGAAAUGAUAUUUUUCGGAACCAUCAAAUUUUUACUGCACGUCCAAGGUAUAAUACAAUCUCACAAGAUCCAUAUAUGCAUGUUGGUUAACGUCAAGAUUUCUAACUGCAAAUUUGUGGAGAAUGUUUUUUUCGAACAUUGGUAGACUAAUAUUUUAUAUGGAGAGGAGAAAGCGAGUGCAAUUAUAUGCUUUAUAUUAUUGCCAUUAGUUCAAUGCAGCUAUAUGGAGAGGAGCAGGUGACUGCAAUUGCAAGCAAGAAGCUCACCUGAGAAGGCAGUUAGUUCAUCACAAUGUCAGUAGAAAGUAGAAGCUGACCAGAAGAAAGAAGGUGAUGAUGAAAUCUACCUGCGAUCAAUAGCCCCAUGAGACCAACAUCCUUGAGAGGAACACUCUGCACUCUCUCGCUUCAAAGCUAACAACAAAUCUCUAAGGUAAUUUCUGAACUAAUCUCCUAAUCAUAUAUCUUUCUUUUUGUUUGGUCAAAAUCUCCUAAUAAUAUAUCUAUAUACUAACUUAAAGAGUGGAAACAAAAAAUAAACUGGACUAGGGUUUGGUCAAUGCAUUAAAAACAGAUGCAAGAAGUACAUCAGAUAUGAAUCAUGCAAGCAGGACAAGAGUCAGGGGAAGUAUCACUAAGGCAGAUCCAUGAUGAUGAUAGAUUUUGAUAAAAGGUUAGUGGAUUUACUUAGUUACGUAACAGCAGAUUUUGGUUGUAGUAGUUAUGUAACUUUCACAUUUACUCUCUUCAUAUUUAAAUGCCUCUUUCGCUGCAUUCAUCAUCCAUUUAAGUUAGCCUUCAGGCACUUAAAUCGCAGAGACACAGCUAGGCUUUGCGGUCUCAGUAGCGAUUGCGGUUUGCAUUUUGUGCUCUCCACAGGCCACUCUCCCUUCACUACUUCUCUUUGAUAAAUUCCAUUACAUUUACGUAGAAAGCCGCAUUGGUUCUCAAUGUCUCAUGGAUCCCAUUACACCUUGCACUUGAAAAGGAACAAAACAACUUCAAGAAAUAAGGAAGAAGAGCAGAAGUUGUGUCAUGCUGUUUUGGCUGCUAAUCAUUUCAUGUGUAUGGGUGCGAGCAAGGAGUUGAAAAAAACCAAAAUCUUCUACAACUUCAACUGGUGAUCUUGGAAUUGGGCUUGAACAGCUUCAUCUAAUGUCAAAAGUUAAGAACAUUGCUUCUCUGCAGCUAUAUGGAGAGGAGCAAGCGAGUCUAAUUUCAAGCAAACAACUUCACCAUAGAACGCAGUUCAUCACAAUGCCAGUACGAAUAAGAAGUCAGAUCAGAAAAUUAUGUCCUUUUCGGGUCUAAGCUCUGUCUCUUCUUCAAUAAGAAGAUCAAAGAAAACGACGGCCAUUGCACAAGUCGUUUAUCUCCAUCGUUUGGACUUGACAUAGCACUUCAUAGAAAGGGAAUAGAAUUUUCAUAAAUCAUUAUUGUUUUUUUUAUGUUGCAUUAGUUUUCAGUUAGGUCAAUUUCUCAAAUGAAAAAUAAGUUUUUGAAAUUAUGAUACAUAUAAAUGUACGUUUUAAACUUUGUCAAAAUAUCAUGACAAAUACAUUUAUCUUUCCGUAAUUGUUAAACAGCGAUGUUGUUCAU